GAUGAACGCUAGCUACAGGCUUAACACAUGCAAGUCGAGGGGAAACGACAUCGAAAGCUUGCUUUUGAUGGGCGUCGACCGGCGCACGGGUGAGUAACGCGUAUCCAACCUGCCCACCACUUGGGGAUAACCUUGCGAAAGUAAGACUAAUACCCAAUGAUAUCCCACGAAGACAUCUGAAUGGGAUUAAAGAUUUAUCGGUGAUGGAUGGGGAUGCGUCUGAUUAGCUUGUUGGCGGGGUAACGGCCCACCAAGGCAACGAUCAGUAGGGGUUCUGAGAGGAAGGUCCCCCACAUUGGAACUGAGACACGGGCCAAACGCCUACGGGAGGCAGCAGUGAGGAAUAUUAGUCAAUGGGCGAGAGCCUGAACCAGCCAAGUAGCGUGCAGGAAGACGGCCCUAUGGGUUGUAAACUGCUUUUAUAAGGGAAUAAAGUGGGUCACGUGUGACUUUUUGCAUGUACCUUAUGAAUAAGGACCGGCUAAUUCCGUG
rnacentral:rRNA from 1 species